rnacentral:RNase_P_RNA from 1 species
UGAGUUUGACAGAUGAUCGCGGCUGCAGAAACGAAAGGCUGCAGGUGAGGAAAGUCCGGGCUUCAUAGGGCAGGAUGCCAGAUAACGUCUGGUGGAGGCGACUCUAAGGAUAGUGCAACAGAGAUAUACCGCCACGCAAGUGGUAAGGGUGGAAAGGCAGUGUAAGAGACUACCGCCUGCUUGGUAACAGGCAGGGCCAUGUAAACCCCAUUCGAAGCAAGACCGAAUAGAAGACAUAUGAUGGCCCGUCAGUCUUCGGGUAGGUCGCUUGAAUCUGGUGGCGACACCAGAUCUAGAUAGAUGAUCAUCAAAAACAUAACCCGGCUUAUAGUCAGACUCAUUAA